ANGCGGCGUGCUAAUACAUGCAAGUCGAGCGAACAGACGAGGAGCUUGCUCCUCUGACGUUAGCGGCGGACGGGUGAGUAACACGUGGAUAACCUACCUAUAAGACUGGGAUAACUUCGGGAAACCGGAGCUAAUACCGGAUAAUAUAUUGAACCGCAUGGUUCAAUAGUGAAAGACGGUUUUGCUGUCACUUAUAGAUGGAUCCGCGCCGCAUUAGCUAGUUGGUAAGGUAACGGCUUACCAAGGCAACGAUGCGUAGCCGACCUGAGAGGGUGAUCGGCCACACUGGAACUGAGACACGGUCCAGACUCCUACGGGAGGCAGCAGUAGGGAAUCUUCCGCAAUGGGCGAAAGCCUGACGGAGCAACGCCGCGUGAGUGAUGAAGGUCUUCGGAUCGUAAAACUCUGUUAUUAGGGAAGAACAAAUGUGUAAGUAACUAUGCACGUCUUGACGGUACCUAAUCAGAAAGCCACGGCUAACUACGUGCCAGCAGCCGCGGUAAUACGUAGGUGGCAAGCGUUAUCCGGAAUUAUUGGGCGUAAAGCGCGCGUAGGCGGUUUUUUAAGUCUGAUGUGAAAGCCCACGGCUCAACCGUGGAGGGUCAUUGGAAACUGGAAAACUUGAGUGCAGAAGAGGAAAGUGGAAUUCCAUGUGUAGCGGUGAAAUGCGCAGAGAUAUGGAGGAACACCAGUGGCGAAGGCGACUUUCUGGUCUGUAACUGACGCUGAUGUGCGAAAGCGUGGGGAUCAAACAGGAUUAGAUACCCUGGUAGUCCACGCCGUAAACGAUGAGUGCUAAGUGUUAGGGGGUUUCCGCCCCUUAGUGCUGCAGCUAACGCAUUAAGCACUCCGCCUGGGGAGUACGACCGCAAGGUUGAAACUCAAAGGAAUUGACGGGGACCCGCACAAGCGGUGGAGCAUGUGGUUUAAUUCGAAGCAACGCGAAGAACCUUACCAAAUCUUGACAUCCUCUGAACCCUCUAGAGAUAGAGUUUUCCCCUUCGGGGGACAGAGUGACAGGUGGUGCAUGGUUGUCGUCAGCUCGUGUCGUGAGAUGUUGGGUUAAGUCCCGCAACGAGCGCAACCCUUAAGCUUAGUUGCCAUCAUUAAGUUGGGCACUCUAAGUUGACUGCCGGUGACAAACCGGAGGAAGGUGGGGAUGACGUCAAUCAUCAUGCCCCUUAUGAUUGGGCUACNACGUGCUACAUGGACANUCAAGGGCAGCGAAACCGCGAGGUAAGCAAAUCCANUAAGUUGUUCNCAUUCGGAUGGAUCUGCACUCGACUAUGAACUGGAACCCAG
rnacentral:rRNA from 1 species